AUCUACGGCCAUGCCACCCUGAACAAGCCCGAUGUCUGAUCUCGGAAGCUAAGCAGGGUCGGGCCUGGUUAGUACUUGGAUGGGAGACCACCUAGGAAGACCAGGUGCUGUAGGCA
rnacentral:rRNA from 1 species